CGGCAUGCCUAANACAUGCAAGUCGAACGAGACCUUCGGGUCUAGUGGCGCACGGGUGCGUAACGCGUGGGAACCUGCCUUUAGGUUCGGAAUAACUCAGAGAAAUUUGAGCUAAUACCGGAUAAUGUCUUCGGACCAAAGAUUUAUCGCCUUUAGAUGGGCCCGCGUUGGAUUAGCUAGUUGGUGGGGUAAAGGCCUACCAAGGCGACGAUCCAUAGCUGGUCUGAGAGGAUGAUCAGCCACACUGGGACUGAGACACGGCCCAGACUCCUACGGGAGGCAGCAGUGGGGAAUAUUGGACAAUGGGCGAAAGCCUGAUCCAGCAAUGCCGCGUGAGUGAUGAAGGCCUUAGGGUUGUAAAGCUCUUUUACCCGAGAUGAUAAUGACAGUAUCGGGAGAAUAAGCUCCGGCUAACUCCGUG
rnacentral:rRNA from 1 species